rnacentral:tRNA from 1 species
UUCCCUCACCUGGAAUCGAAUCCGGGCCUCCUAAGUGAGAGCCUGGUAUCCUAGCCACUAGACCACGUGAGAGA